UGAGUGGAAUCCACUAGAACCGCCUCUACCUAAGAAAGUAAUAAACCAAAAGCAAUAUCACAUUCCUGGAGCAAUUGUAAAGAUUAAUGUCACAAUCAAAGACUUGAAGGAUGCAAGUAUGAAAUGAACACUGAUAAACUGAUAAAGAAGAAAGAUUUAUUGGAAGAAUAUCAGGGAUGCAUAAAACCAUGGGAGCAGAAGUGUGGAAAACAUGGAGGAAUCGAGGCGAGAUACUUUCUUUUUCAUGGACAUUGACCGAACAUCCAACUCCAGCCAGACAUUGACUGAACCUUUAACUCCAAGUAAAAGAAUGUGAAUCAUAACCACCAUCCUUCACAACUGCUGAAAUCAUCUGUUCAAAAGGCAGAACCCCUGAAUUGUAGAGAAGACAUCAUCGAUCUGCAAAUCUGGUCUUCACUCCUCUGUUCUUACUCUACUUAGGGAGAUACUCUGACCACACUCCCUGCAAAAAAACUCAUGGUUAACUGCUGGAGAUACAACCACGGCACUUCUCAGUCAGCUAGGUAUGGCAAUGAAAUUAAAUUCUUCCUAAUGGGUGCUAAGAGGAAAUGUAGAAUGGGAAAUCCGAAAUAGUGCUCAAAGUGAAAGAAUCCUACCUGCCAGCCACCAUGCCAGGACUCUACAGUCAAUAAGAAUCUGCUGCUGGUAAAUCCAUUCAAGAGCGUUAAUAUAUAACCGACACAGGAUCG
rnacentral:lncRNA from 1 species